rnacentral:rRNA from 1 species
ACGGAAGGCAGCAGUGAGGAAUAUUGGUCAAUGGGCGGAAGCCUGAACCAGCCAUGCCGCGUGAAGGAUUAAGGCCCUAUGGGUCGUAAACUUCUUUUGAGUGGGAGCAAUAAGCGCUACGUGUAGCGCGAUGAGAGUACCAUUCGAAUAAGCAUCGGCUAACUCCGUGCCAGCAGCCGCGGUAAUACGGAGGAUGCAAGCGUUAUCCGGAUUUAUUGGGUUUAAAGGGUGCGUAGGCUGUCUGUCAAGUCAGAGGUGAAAGCCCGGGGCUCAACUCCGGAACUGCCUUUGAUACUGUCAGACUGGAAUGCGGAUGCCGUGGGAGGAAUGAGUAGUGUAGCGGUGAAAUGCAUAGAUAUUACUCAGAACACCGAUUGCGAAGGCAUCUCACGAAGCAGUCAUUGACGCUGAGGCACGAAAGCGUGGGAAUCAAACAGGAUUAGAUACCCUGGUA